rnacentral:rRNA from 1 species
AUUGAACGCUGGCGGAAUGCUUUACACAUGCAAGUCGAGCGGCAGCGCGGGGCAACCUGGCGGCGAGCGGCGAACGGGUGAGUAAUGCAUCGGAACAUGUCCAUGUCGUGGGGGAUAGCCCGGCGAAAGCCGGAUUAAUACCGCAUACGCCCGAGAGGGGAAAGUGGGGGACCGCAAGGCCUCACGCGAUUGGGUUGGCCGAUGUCCGAUUAGCUAGUUGGCGGGGUAAGAGCCCACCAAGGCGAUGAUCGGUAGCUGGUCUGAGAGGAUGAUCAGCCACACUGGGACUGAGACACGGCCCAGACUCCUACGGGAGGCAGCAGUGGGGAAUUUUGGACAAUGGAGGCAACCCUGAUCCAGCCAUUCCGCGUGAGUGAAGAAGGCCUUCGGGUUGUAAAGCUCUUUUGUCCGGAACGAAACGGGUAGCGUGAAUAUCGCUGCCUACUGACGGUACCGGAAGAAUAAGCACCGGCUAACUACGUGC